rnacentral:rRNA from 1 species
UACGGAGGGGACUAGCGUUGUUCGGAAUUACUGGGCGUAAAGCGCACGUAGGCGGAUUUGUAAGUCAGGGGUGAAAUCCCGGGGCUCAACCUCGGAACUGCCUUUGAUACUGCAAAUCUCGAGUCCGGAAGAGGGUGAGUGGAAUUCCUAGUGUAGAGGGUGAAAUUCGUAGAUAUUAGGAAGGAAACACCAGUGGCGAAGGCGGCUCACUGGUCCGGUACUGACGCUGAGGUGCGAAAGCGUGGGGAGCAAACAGG